GGGGUUGAUUAUGGAUUUGACAAAAUAUACAAAAAUUAUUAUUGCAUGUCGAGGAUUGGUUUGCCUCGUUAAAAAACCAAAUAAAAUAAACGCAGAUCAGAAAAUACGCUUUAGCAGCUUAAAAAACUGUAUAUAGCCCUUUCACAGAUUUAUUUUAUUCUCUUUUAAUAUUGACGAAAAAUUUGAAAGGUAAGAAAAAAGAGAUAUCUACUUUUAUUACUCUUGAAAUAAAAUAGAUAUAAUUUAUCAAGAGAAAAAAUAAUACUUUGUUUAUUGAGUGUUAUUCAAUUUUUUUAAAAAUAAACUAAACAUGUAGAAUAAUAAAAUAAGUUGUUUUGGACGCGGGUUCGAAUCCCGCCAACUCCAAAA
rnacentral:tmRNA from 1 species